rnacentral:rRNA from 1 species
AGAGUUUGAUCCUGGCUCAGAACGAACGCUGGCGGCAGGCUUAACACAUGCAAGUCGAACGCCCCGCAAGGGGAGUGGCAGACGGGUGAGUAACGCGUGGGAAUCUACCCAAUUCUUCGGAACAACACAUGGAAACGUGUGCUAAUACCGAAUGAGCCCUUCGGGGGAAAGAUUUAUCGGUAUGGGAUGGGCCCGCGUUUGAUUAGCUAGUUGGUGAGGUAACGGCUCACCAAGGCGACGAUCAAUAGCCGACCUGAGAGGGUGAUCGGCCACACUGGAACUGAGACACGGUCCAGACUCCUACGGGAGGCAGCAGUGGGGAAUAUUGCACAAUGGGCGCAAGCCUGAUGCAGCAACGCCGCGUGAGUGAUGAAGGCCUUCGGGUCGUAAAACUCUGUCCUAUGGGAAGAAAAAAAUGACGGUACCAUAGGAGGAAGCCCCGGCUAACUACGUGCCAGCAGCCGCGGUAAUACGUAGGGGGCAAGCGUUAUCCGGAAUCACUGGGCGUAAAGGGUGCGUAGGUGGCUCAUCAAGCCAGAGGUGAAAGGCAUUGGCUCAACCAAUGUAAGCCUUUGGAACUGACGAGCUUGAGUGCAGGAGAGGUAAGUGGAAUUCCUAGUGUAGAGGUGAAAUUCGUAGAUAUUAGGAGGAACACCAGUGGCGAAGGCGACUUACUGGACUGUAACUGACACUGAGGCACGAAAGCGUGGGGAGCGAACAGGAUUAGAUACCCUGGUAGUCC